rnacentral:rRNA from 1 species
CACGCCGUAAACGAUGAGUGCUAGGUGUUGGGGGUCAAACCUCGGUGCCGCAGUUAACGCAUUAAGCACUCCGCCUGGGGAGUACGUUCGCAAGAAUAAAACUCAAAGGAAUUGACGGGG